GAUCUCGAACGCGGGGCACGAGCGACAAUUCGACGCCACUCACCCGAAAUCCUGGUCCAUGGAUUUGAAGAAGAACUUGUAGCUGUGCACGGGUCGAUUGUUGAGGACAUUUUUGAAAUCGGCUAAGGGUCCCCGUAGCUCAGGAUCCGGCUCGGUCAGCGCAGCCCUGGUUGAGAUGUGCCGGUUCGAGCGCCAAACCUCAGAACUGCGAGGCGGGCCUCCACUCACCGACAUUUUCUUUGAAAACGCGUGACACGUUAACUGCAAAUGAUCGCCAGGCUUGUUGUGUUUCCUUUAUUCACUAUUAAACCAUUUUCAUUCAUAACGGCAUUAUUACACUUAAUUGGGUACAGUGAAUAAUGAUUGAUUGGUGGUGAUCAAAAAGUUUGUGCUUCCUCUCUUUAGCUGUGCAAACAAAUUGGAGCUUUUGAUAAAUGAAUUUGAGCAGUUCAAAUAUGCUAAAUUUGAGAAAUGACAGAGAUUUUUUUUUUUUUUAAAUCAGAAUAUUCCCCAACUUUAUGUACAAACUAACAAGCAAUCACCCAACAUCGUGACUUUCCACUCCAGCUCAAUUUGUACAUAAGAGUUUGAAAAGUACAGUCGUAGUUUACAGGUCGUCCAAGAAAAUUACACUUGCAUACUUGAAAAGAAUUUUAACGUCAACAAUGUUUCAAAAGCCGCAGCGAUCAAAAGAAGAUGCCUCGUAAUUGUGAUCUUAUGUACGGCGCGUUGCUGUUGUUGUUAAAGCGCACAAUAAAGUUGAGCUGUCGCCACCAAUCAGCGGAUGAAGUGUGUUGAGACCACAAAAGGUGGUGCAAGCCGAACGGAUGUCAGGAUUACUUUUGUACUGUUUGGAUAAACGGAUUCCAACAGGCUUUUAUUUCCAAAUUUUAAUUUUUUUUUUUUUUUUUUUGGGGGGGGGGUGGUAAAUACACACUGGGAUCAAUUUUAAGUGUACAAAGAAAGUUUGCAUAGUACCAUCAAAAUGUGUCACAACUGGUGAUUUUGUCCACAUACAGUAAAAAAAAACAAAACGUUGCUUUGCAAAUGACAAUACAGCAGAAUCUGUGCAAAAAAAACCAAAAAAAAAAAAAAACAAAGACAGUAGCAAA